CCCUUAGAUGUUCUGGGCCGCACGCGUGCUACACUGAGUGGAUCAGCGGGUCAGGUUGCGCGAAAGCGUUUCCUAAUCUUUAAAUCCGCUCGUGAUGGGGAUUGACGGUUGCAAUUUUCUGUCAUGAACGAGGAAUACCUUGUAAGCGCGGGUCAUCAUCCCGCGCUGAAUACGUCCCUGCCCUUUGUACACACCGCCCGUCGCUCCUACCGAUUGAACGUGCUGGUGAAGCGUUAGGACUGGCUCUCGGGGCAGGUCUCCUGCCCCUUGAAUCGGGAAUUUCGUUGAACCCUCCCGUUUAGAGGAAGGAGAAGUCGUAACA
rnacentral:rRNA from 1 species